UCGAAAGCAAGAUGAGGAAAGAGGAGCAAGGAGGGAGAUCAGAGGCAGGAGGAGGGAGGGAGGCCCUGGAAGGGACCCAUCUGCCAGACUAGACUCUACAUUCUAGACUUACAGCCCCAGGGCAGACCAGAAGCUGGGAAAAGCCUAAAGAGAAUCAAAACUCAGGGCGGCCCGGCACAGCCAGGGUGCCCUCCCCUCCCCUGACGGGGUCAUUCCAGGUAGCCACACAGUGAAUUCUCCUCCUGACUGGGCCACUGCAAAGCCGCUCCCAGGCAGGGAGGAAGCCUGCCCCAGACACAGGGAAGCCGAGGAACGGGAACUCCCAGCCCAGAGACUCUAGUCGAGUUGCUGCAGCCAGAUGGAAGUAAUCAGAACCCAAAAAGAACAGGGGAAGAACGAAGGAGAACACCUCAUUGAAUUUUUGGCCGAAGUGUGUAGGAGCUCAACUCUCCUAGAAUCCAGGCACUCCCAUAACAUUUCCUGCCCUAUUUUUGGCAAGAAGGUGGCUGUUGAGAUGAAGAUGGAAUGUUUUGAGUUUGAGGAGAGGCUGAAGAGACUGUGCCUUAAUCUCUACAUGGUCAGAAGUUUGAGCACUGAGAAAAGCAGCGCGUUUUUUUGGAAGAGACAUCCUCGCAUAGCAGAGAGAGCCUUAUGUGAGCACUGGGGCACGAGGCCCUGGCCACCAGAUCUGGUAAUAAAUGUAUGACCUUGGGCAAGC